GACGAACGCUGGCGGCGUGCCUAAUACAUGCAAGUAGAACGCUGAAGAGAGGAGCUUGCUCUUCUUGGAUGAGUUGCGAACGGGUGAGUAACGCGUAGGUAACCUGCCUUGUAGCGGGGGAUAACUAUUGGAAACGAUAGCUAAUACCGCAUAACAAUGGAUGACCCAUGUCAUUUAUUUGAAAGGGGCAAAUGCUCCACUACAAGAUGGACCUGCGUUGUAUUAGCUAGUAGGUGAGGUAACGGCUCACCUAGGCGACGAUACAUAGCCGACCUGAGAGGGUGAUCGGCCACACUGGGACUGAGACACGGCCCAGACUCCUACGGGAGGCAGCAGUAGGGAAUCUUCGGCAAUGGGGGCAACCCUGACCGAGCAACGCCGCGUGAGUGAAGAAGGUUUUCGGAUCGGAAAGCUCUGUUGUAAGUCAAGAACGAGUGUGAGAGUGGAAAGUUCACACUGUGACGGUAGCUUACCAGAAAGGGACGGCUAACUACGUG
rnacentral:rRNA from 1 species